AUACUUUGCCAUAACUGCAUGGCAGAAAUGAUGGAAAGAAACUAUAAAGAUAAACUAAAAAAAAUGGAUAAAUUAAUGAAACUUUGGUCACUAAGAGAUCUCACACCAUUCGGCAGAAUAACUAUUCUGAAAAGCCUAAUAUUACCCACACUCAAUCAUCUAUUUACCUCACUACCAAACCCCAAAAUGAAUGCAAUUCAAAUGAUCCAGAAAAAGAUCUUCGCAUUUAUUUGGAGAGGCAAACCAGACAAAAUAAAAAGA